UUGCCCCUACCAUGUCCGUGAUUGGGAGUUAUUCUUUGACCCAACAGCUAUCUUCUGGGAACUUUCUCUGGUUUCCGUGUGCAUGUUCUGCUGGUUCAGAAAAGCCUGACGAAACUAAAAAGUACCCACUUUGAACCCCAGGUUCAAAGAACUGUCAACACGGCAUUUUGGUGGGGGUUCU
rnacentral:other from 1 species